rnacentral:lncRNA from 1 species
AUGAAGCUAUAUAUGUUAGUAUUGAAGAAGCUAACGGGGGACGCAGAAGAACACCUGGACGUGUUUGCACAGCCUACCGAGGAGAGGAUCAGUGGGGUCUGGCCUGAUACAGGAUACUUGCGGCUGCUGGGUGAAGAUCUGAACAUUAUGUUGGUUUUGAAGAUGGGAAUUUGGGCAAGAGGAUCAAACUGUGGACACAAGGGCCAUCUUACCAUCUUGACAUCCCAGGAAGCUGUCAGUAGAGCCUUCAGCUACGUGGUUAUCCUACACUCAGCCGAGAUCUGUUGUCUGACAUUUCUGACUGCAGAGCUCUCAGCAUCCUGGACAAUACCUCCUUCCACCUGGAUUGAGUUACUAAUGUUCCUUCCAGGGCUCUCUUCCUCAAGGGUAGAUGUGUACUAC